rnacentral:rRNA from 1 species
UCCGCAAUGGGCGCAAGCCUGACGGAGCAACGCCGCGUGCGGGAGGAAGGUCUUUGGAUUGUAAACCGCUUUUCUCAGGGAAGAAGCUCUGACGGUACCUGAGGAAUCAGCAUCGGCUAACUCCGUGCCAGCAGCCGCGGUAAUACGGAGGAUGCAAGCGUUAUCCGGAAUUAUUGGGCGUAAAGCGUUCGUAGGCGGUCAAGCAAGUCUGCUGUCAAAUCCCGCAGCUCAACUGCGUAUAGGCAGUGGAAACUGCAUGACUAGAGUGUGGCAGGGGUAGGGGGAAUUCCCGGUGUAGCGGUGAAAUGCGUAGAUAUCGGGAAGAACACCAGUGGCGAAAGCGCCCUACUGGGCCACAACUGACGCUGAGGGACGAAAGCUAGGGGAGCGAAAGGGAUUAGAUACCCC